GCCCUUAUAGCUCAGUGGUAGAGCAACCGCCUUGUAAGCGGUAGGUCUUCAGUUCAAAUCUGAAUGGGGGCA
rfam:Drosophila ficusphila Contig3361, whole genome shotgun sequence